rnacentral:rRNA from 1 species
CCUACGGGAGGCAGCAGUGGGGAAUUUUGGACAAUGGGCGAAAGCCUGAUCCAGCAAUGCCGCGUGCAGGAAGAAGGCCUUCGGGUUGUAAACUGCUUUUGUACGGAACGAAACGGUCUGCUUUAAUACAGUGGGCUAAUGACGGUACCGUAAGAAUAAGCACCGGCUAACUACGUGCCAGCAGCCGCGGUAAUACGUAGGGUGCGAGCGUUAAUCGGAAUUACUGGGCGUAAAGCGUGCGCAGGCGGUUAUAUAAGACAGUUGUGAAAUCCCCGGGCUCAACCUGGGAAUUGCAUCUGUGGCUGUAUAGCUAGAGUACGGUAGAGGGGGAUGGAAUUCCGCGUGUAGCAGUGAAAUGCGUAGAUAUGCGGAGGAACACCGAUGGCGAAGGCAAUCCCCUGGACCUGUACUGACGCUCAUGCACGAAAGCGUGGGGAGCAAACAGGAUUAGAUACCCUGGUAGUCCACGCCCUAAACGAUGUCAACUGUNUGGUGNNUAUAUNNUACGAGNACGNGUGAGUGACGCG